GUAAAGAGCUCGUAGGUGGUUUGUCGCGUUGUUCGUGAAAUCUCACGGCUUAACUGUGAGCGUGCGGGCGAUACGGGCAGACUUGAGUACUGCAGAGGAGACUGGAAUUCCUGGUGUAGCGGUGGAAUGCGCAGAUAUCAGGAGGAACACCGGUGGCGAAGGCGGGUCUCUGGGCAGUAACUGACGCUGAGGAGCGAAAGCGUGGGGAGCGAACAGGAUUAGAUACCCUGGUAGUCCACGCCGUAAACGGUGGGUACUAGGUGUGGGUUUCCUUCCUUGGGAUCCGUGCCGUAGCUAACGCAUUAAGUACCCCGCCUGGGGAGUACGGCCGCAAGGCUAAAACUCAAAGAAAUUGACGGGGGCCCGCACAAGCGGCGGAGCAUGUGGAUUAAUUCGAUGCAACGCGAAGAACCUUACCUGGGUUUGACAUGCGCAGGACGCCGGCAGAGAUGUCGGUUCCCUUGUGGCCUGUGUGCAGGUGGUGCAUGGCUGUCGUCAGCUCGUGUCGUGAGAUGUUGGGUUAAGUCCCGCAACGAGCGCAACCCUUGCCUCAUGUUGCCAGCGGGUAAUGCCGGGGACUCGUGAGAGACUGCCGGGGUCAACUCGGAGGAAGGUGGGGAUGACGUCAAGUCAUCAUGCCCCUUAUGUCCAGGGCUUCACACAUGCUACAAUGGCCGGUACAAAGGGCUGCGAUGCCGCGAGGUUAAGCGAAUCCUUUUAAAGCCGGUCUCAGUUCGGAUCGGGGUCUGCAACUCGACCCCGUGAAGUCGGAGUCGCUAGUA
rnacentral:rRNA from 1 species